UACAGAGGUCUCAAGCGUUGUUCGGAUUCAUUGGGCGUAAAGGGUGCGUAGGCGGCGCGGUAAGUCGGGUGUGAAAUCUCGGAGCUUAACUCCGAAACUGCAUUCGAUACUGCCGUGCUUGAGGACUGGAGAGGAGACUGGAAUUUACGGUGUAGCGGUGAAAUGCGUAGAUAUCGUAAGGAAGACCAGUGGCGAAGGCGGGUCUCUGGACAGUUCCUGACGCUGCGGCACGAAGGCCAGGGGAGCAAACGGG
rnacentral:rRNA from 1 species